rnacentral:rRNA from 1 species
GACGAACGCUGGCGGCGUGCUUAACACAUGCAAGUCGAACGGAAAGGCCCUGCUUUUGUGGGGUGCUCGAGUGGCGAACGGGUGAGUAACACGUGAGUAACCUGCCCUUGACUUUGGGAUAACUUCAGGUAACUGGGGCUAAUACCGGAUAGGAGCUCCUGCUGCAUGGUGGGGGUUGGAAAGUUUCGGCGGUUGGGGAUGGACUCGCGGCUUAUCAGCUUGUUGGUGGGGUAGUGGCUUACCAAGGCUUUGACGGGUAGCCGGCCUGUGAGGGUGACCGGCCACAAUGGGACUGAGAUACGGCCCAGACUCCUACGGGGGGCAGCAGUGGGGAAUAUUGCACAAUGGGCGGAAGCCUGAUGCAGCGGCGCCGCGUGCGGGAUGACGGCCCUCGGGUUGUAAACCGCUUUCGCCUGUGACGAAGCGUGAGUGACGGUAAUGGGUAAAGAAGCACCGGCUAACUACGUG